UGGGGAAUAUUGGGCAAUGGGCGCAAGCCUGACCCAGCAACGCCGCGUGAGGGAAGAAGGUUUUCGGAUUGUAAACCUCUGUCGCAAGGGACGAAGAAGUGACGGUACCUUGUGAGGAAGCCCCGGCUAACUACGUGCCAGCAGCCGCGGUAAUACGUAGGGGGCGAGCGUUGUCCGGAAUUACUGGGCGUAAAGGGUGCGUAGGCGGCGAUAUAAGUUGGAUGUGAAAUACCCGGGCUUAACUUGGGGGGUGCAUUCAAAACUGUAUUGCUAGAGUACAGGAGAGGGAAGCGGAAUUCCUAGUGUAGCGGUGAAAUGCGUAGAUAUUAGGAGGAACACCGGUGGCGAAGGCGGCUUUCUGGACUGACACUGACGCUGAGGCACGAAAGCGUGGGGAGCAAACA
rnacentral:rRNA from 1 species